rnacentral:tRNA from 1 species
GAGAAAGUAACUCAGUUGGUAGAGUGUUGGUUUGUCAUAUCAGUGGUCGCGGGUUCAAAUCCCGUCUUUCUCG